GACGAACGCUGGCGGCGUGCCUAAUACAUGCAAGUUGAGCGCUGAAGGUUGGUACUUGUACCAACUGGAUGAGCAGCGCACGGGUGAGUAACGCGUGGGGAAUCUGCCUUUGAGCGGGGGACAACAUUUGGAAACGAAUGCUAAUACCGCAUAAAAACUUUAAACACAAGUUUUAAGUUUGAAAGAUGCAAUUGCAUCACUCAAAGAUGAUCCCGCGUUGUAUUAGCUAGUUGGUGAGGUAAAGGCUCACCAAGGCGAUGAUACAUAGCCGACCUGAGAGGGUGAUCGGCCACAUUGGGACUGAGACACGGCCCAAACUCCUACGGGAGGCAGCAGUAGGGAAUCUUCGGCAAUGGACGAAAGUCUGACCGAGCAACGCCGCGUGAGUGAAGAAGGUUUUCGGAUCGUAAAACUCUGUUGGUAGAGAAGAACGUUGGUGAGAGUGGAAAGCUCAUCAAGUGACGGUAAUUACCCAGAAAGGGACGGCUAACUACGUG
rnacentral:rRNA from 1 species